CAGUAUUCUUUGUUUCACAUUAUCAGUCUCUGUCUGUAGUCGUUGUGUAACGUGUCGUAUUGCCCAAGUUAGUCUCGUUUGAUAGUGUAUGAUUUCUACAUAGUAUACUUGUUCUAUAUCGUUUCAAUCUAUUUAAUUUAUGUCGUUACGUUAUAGCUCACUGGCUAGGAUUAUUACCCUUUAUCUAGAACAAUAAAUAUGAUAUCAAGUACAAGGGUGCGGACUUAUUAAUUCUUAAUAAAUGAUAAAUACAACAACUGGCAUGUGUACAAUCCAGACAAGGGUAACUAUGGAGUGAUUAGCUCGUAUAACGAAAGUUACGGAUGGAGUUGGAGAUCUACAAGUAAUACGGUUAAAGCUCAUUGCAUUUGCCAGUUUGACGUCACAUUAGAAUACUACAAAGGAAACUUUUUCCUAUUUUCUCCAUUUGCUACAAGUCACGCUGGUGCAAAAUCAGCAUGUGUUGGAUUGGGUGGUCACCUUGCAAUUAUACCAGAUGUAGAAACUCAAACCUUCAUUCAAACUGAAGGAGCUGCUUACAAGAGUGCAGGAAAAUGGAUGACAAGCACUAACCAUACUUGGAUUGAUGCAGUGAAGGCAUCAGAUGGAACUGGUUGGGAAUGGAGCACAACCCAUCACAAGUUUUAUAAUAAAACCACUCAACGUGGAAUUUGUUGUAAAUAGUUUAUCAGGUUACUCUACAUUAAAUUGGUGGUAAAAUUAAUUUUUAUGUAGUAAUACAUUAUUCUUGGUAUUU